rnacentral:tmRNA from 1 species
GGGGGCGAAGAGGGCUCGACGGGGGAGGCAGAUCGUCGGUGGCAGGUCGGGGCCGCUCGGACCCCGUGAACAACCCGGGCAAACAACAGGUGCCAACCGCGAUUACGCGGCUCUCCCGCUGGCCGCCUAAGCCAGCGUGAGGGGACGGUCCCCCGAUGAGGGGACCCGCUCGACCGGACCCAUCGCCGACGGGGCCGGAUCGGGUGUGACAAAGUCGGCGUGCGGCGGCCUGGCGCCCCGGAAGGCCGCCUAAGAUCCCAGGGGCUGGCUGGCCGGAGACCUUGCCGGUUGGAGGACCGGCCGGCGAGAGGGAAGAACCGGAUAAGCCUGUAGGCACCGGCGAUCGAAUCUUCCGGACGCGGGUUCGAUUCCCGCCGCCUCCACC